GUGGCCUUCGGCAGGAUAGCCUGGACUUCCUUCUGUCAUGGUGGCCAGGGUACAAGAGAGUGAACAUGGCAGCUGUCAGGCCUUUUAAAAAGGGCCUAGGCCUGGAACAGCAUCACUUCUACUGAAUUCUACCUACUGUAUCAUUAGUCAGAGCCAGUGACACGGGCAUUCCAGAGCCACGGGCAGGAGGGAGUCUGCCCCUUCUGAUGUCUUUAAACUUUUUUUUUUUUUUUUUUUGAGACAAGGUCUCCCUCUGUCACCUAGGCUGGAAUGCAGUGACACAAUCACAAUUCACUGCGGAGAGACAGCAAGCAUAAAUAAGAAAAUAGGAGCAUAUUAGACAGUGGUAAAUGGUACAGAGACAUACCAAGGGAGGGGAUAGGAUGUUAGCCAGGAUGGUUUCAAUCUCAUGACCUCGUCAUCCACCCGCCUCGGCCUCCCAAAGUGCUGGGAUUACAAGGGAUGGGGGCAGGGAGUGGGGUACGUGGAAUAGUCUCUAACCAUCCAGGUAUCAUGGUAUCAUUCCCUUUCCCCAGGAUAAGGAUGGUAUCACUAGUGAGUUAAGAUGAACAUUCAGGGUCUGUGGCUCUCAGGGCACAAAUCAUUCCAAUCUUAACAGAUGCAAGAAAUAAAAGGGAGGAAACACUCUUUAGUUCACUGCAUAUUGACGAGCACAACCUUGGUAAGGUUGUGUUUGAAGGGAAUUAUGUAUGGGAAGGGAAUUAUGUUAUGGGAAGGGAAUUAUGUAUGGGAAGGGAAUUAUGUAUGGGAAGUAAGCUUAACCCAGGAAUAUGAGGUCUUUCUUACUUAAAACCCAGAACCUCCUAAUUUAGCUUUUAAAAUACACCCUCUUGAUGGUCAAUUAUUAGAGAAAGUAUGAUGUACCUCGUUAAGGUCGAAAUGGGCAGAAUCUACCCAUGGUCCAAAAAUAGGUGAGUACAGCACUGUGGGUGUGAGAGAGAGAGAGGGAGAGAGAGAGAUCAUAUUUACAUAACUUUUUUUGAGACGGAGUUUCGCUCUUGUCCCCCAGGCUGCAAGAUAAUUUUGUAUUUUUAGUAGAGACAGGGUUUCUCUGUGUUGGUCAGGCUGGUCUCGAACUCCCGACCUCAGGUGAUCCGCCCGCCUCAGCGUCCCAAAGCGCCUGACAAAACAGACUCUAUCUAGCAAUUAGCUACCAACAUGACAGACAACGGGCCCUGAAAGAAAAUACUUUACAGAGUUUGACAGUAUUUCAAUUUUAUUGCAUAUAUUAUAUUGCAUAUUGCAGGUAAGGGGGGAAGCUGCUGUGUACUUCUAUAUGUGUCGCAUGUGAAGCGUGGCCAAAAGGGAUUACUGGCAUGUACCCCCACACCCAACAUGGGUGGCUUAUAUCUUUUUAAGUUUACUUAUUGUAAGUCAUGUUUGAAGGAAUUUGGGAGGAGCAACCUUGCAAGAACCUUGGUCUUUUUACACCCAGAAAUUGGUUUUUGGUUUCACUGACUUCAAGAAUAAAACCGCAAACAACUUUCGCAGUGAGUGUUCCGUUCCUCCUAAUGGGCUCGUCGUCUCUUAUCACAGCACAGAAAACCCCAACGGGUUACCACUACAAGCUCCGGCAGCCUGCUUUUAUUCUUUUAUCUGGCCCCACCCACAUCCUGCUGAUUGGUAGAACCAAGUGGUCUGUUUUGACAGGGCGCUGAUUGGUGCGUUUACAAUCCCUGAGCUAGACAUAAAGGUUCUCCAAGGCCCCACCAGAGUAGCUAGAUAUAGAGUGUCAAUUGGUGCAUUCACUAAACCUUGAGCUAGAUGCAGGAUGCUGAUUGGUGUGUUUACAAACCUUGAGCUAGAUACAGAGUGCCGAUUGGUGUAUUUACAAUCGCUGGGCCAGACACAAAUGUUCUCCAUGGUCCCCACCA
rnacentral:lncRNA from 10 species